rnacentral:rRNA from 1 species
UACGAAGGGGGCUAGCGUUGUUCGGAAUCACUGGGCGUAAAGGGCGCGUAGGCGGCCGAUCAAGUCGGGGGUGAAAGCCUGUGGCUCAACCACAGAAUUGCCUUCGAUACUGUUCGGCUCGAGACCGGAAGAGGUUGGUGGAACUGCGAGUGUAGAGGUGAAAUUCGUAGAUAUUCGCAAGAACACCGGUGGCGAAGGCGGCCAACUGGUCCGGAUCUGACGCUGAGGCGCGAAAGCGUGGGGAGCAAACAGGAUUAGAAACCCCUGUAGUCC